rnacentral:lncRNA from 1 species
CUUCAUUCCAGAUUCCAUGUGACCAAACCUGGUGGAGAUGUCUAAAUGGAGAACAAAAGCUGUUUCCUGGCAGGAAAAGACCAGAUAAUGGACCUCAUAUGUCAUGUCAAAAAAUUUGGCCAUUUUCCUGUAGACUGAAGAAACACUUUAGAUGGAAAUCUUUCUUGGUGUAGAGCAUGGAUUAUAAAGAGUGGCUAGAAGUAUAGAACUCAGCUUCUGAAUAAUCUAUAUGAGUACUUAUGUAAGCAUAAACUUAGGCACUGAUACAGGAGUUGAAAGAAAGGGAUGGAUUUGAGUUAUGCUUAGAAGAUGAUCAAAAACACCUGGGGAUCAGUAAGAUGGGUAAUUGAUGGUGUUUAGAAUUUCUGGCUUGGGUAACUCAAUUUGUGUUAUCAGCAAAGUUAGAAAAUACCAAAUUUGUGGGUUCUGGACUUUUGUGUUUGGUUUUGGACAUAGGUAAUGUCUAAGUGCGUGUCUGUUAGGCAGUAGGAAAUGUCACUCUGGACUAGGGGUAUAUGUUUAAGAGUCAUCUUUACUUUAUGGUGUAUAUCUGUGACAUAUAGGUGAGGUCAACCAGGAGAGUUUAUAAAAGAGCUGAGGGAAGGAUAUAGUCUUAGAAGGAAGAGAGGAAAUAAUAUACUGAAGGUUUCUGAGAAGAAACAAAGGAACCAAGUUUUAAGAGCUCAUCUGUAUCAUCUCCUGCCUUCAUUCUUAUUCCUGUCUGCUCUGACUUCAUUGAGGAGCAUAAUCUUCCAAAAAUAUAAAUCUGAGGUUUUGUGUCAUUCCCAGAAUGACUUCAUUUACAGAUUAAAGUCUUACUGACAUACCUUUUAGGGCCCUGCCUCUCCCAACACUAUAGUCAAACUGAACUUCUUCCAGUUCUUGAUGUGCUCUCUACUCUCUGUUCUUCAGAUUUUUGCAGAUACUAUUUUCUUUUCC